rnacentral:rRNA from 1 species
GACGUAGGGGCCAGCGUUGUUCGGAAUUACUGGGUGUAAAGGGUUCGUAGGCGGUGUGGCAAGUCGGGAGUGAAAUCUCUGGGCUCAACUCAGAGACUGCUUCCGAAACUGCUGUGCUGGAGUGUGGGAGAGGCGCGUGGAAUUCCUGGUGUAGCGGUGGAAUGCGCAGAUAUCAGGAGGAACACCGGUGGCGAAGGCGGGUCUCUGGGCAGUAACUGACGCUGAGGAGCGAAAGCGUGGGAGCGAACAGG